UGUGGCUCAGUGGUUGAGUGUCUGACCUAUGAACCAGGAGGUCACCAGUUUGAUUCUGGUCA
rnacentral:tRNA from 1 species